GAUGAACGCUGGCGGCGUGCCUAAUACAUGCAAGUCGAGCGAACAGACGAGGAGCUUGCUCCUCUGACGUUAGCGGCGGACGGGUGAGUAACACGUGGAUAACCUACCUAUAAGACUGGGAUAACUUCGGGAAACCGGAGCUAAUACCGGAUAAUAUAUUGAACCGCAUGGUUCAAUAGUGAAAGACGGUUUUGCUGUCACUUAUAGAUGGAUCCGCGCCGCAUUAGCUAGUUGGUAAGGUAACGGCUUACCAAGGCAACGAUGCGUAGCCGACCUGAGAGGGUGAUCGGCCACACUGGAACGGAGACACGGUCCAGACGCCUACGGGAGGCAGCAGUAGGGAAUCUGCCGCAAUGGGCGAAAGCUUGACGGAGCAACGCCGCGUGAGUGAUGAAGGUCUUCGGAUCGUAAAACUCUGUUAUUAGGGAAGAACAAAUGUGUAAGUAACUAUGCACGUCUUGACGGUACCUAAUCAGAAAGCCACGGCUAACUACGUG
rnacentral:rRNA from 1 species